rnacentral:rRNA from 1 species
GACGAACGCUGGCGGCGUGCUUAACACAUGCAAGUCGAACGGAAAGGCCCUGCUUGCCGGGUACUCGAGUGGCGAACGGGUGAGUAACACGUGGGUGAUCUGCCCUGCACUUCGGGAUAAGCCUGGGAAACUGGGUCUAAUACCGGAUAGGAGCCAUUUUUAGUGUGAUGGUUGGAAAGUUUUUUCGGUGUAGGAUGAGCUCGCGGCCUAUCAGCUUGUUGGUGGGGUAAUGGCCUACCAAGGCGGCGACGGGUAGCCGGCCUGAGAGGGUGGACGGCCACAUUGGGACUGAGAGACGGCCCAGACUCCGACGGGAGGCAGCAGUGGGGAAUAUUGCACAAUGGGCGCAAGCCUGAUGCAGCGACGCCGCGUGGGGGAUGACGGCCUUCGGGUUGUAAACUCCUUUCGCUAGGGACGAAGCUUUUUGUGACGGUACCUAGAUAAGAAGCACCGGCUAACUACGUG